ACUCCUGCGGGAGGCAGCAGUGGGGAAUUUUGGACAAUGGGCGAAAGCCUGAUCCAGCCAUGCCGCGUGCAGGAUGAAGGCCUUCGGGUUGUAAACUGCUUUUGUACGGAACGAAACGGCCUUUUCUAAUAAAGAGGGCUAAUGACGGUACCGUAAGAAUAAGCACCGGCUAACUCCGUGCCAGCAGCCGCGGUAAUACGUAGGGUGCAAGCGUUAAUCGGAAUUACUGGGCGUAAAGCGUGCGCAGGCGGGUAUGUAAGACAGUUGUGAAAUCCCCGGGCUCAACCUGGGAACUGCAUCUGUGACUGCAUAGCUAGAGUACGGUAGAGGGGGAUGGAAUUCCGCGUGUAGCAGUGAAAUGCGUAGAUAUGCGGAGGAACACCGAUGGCGAAGGCAAUCCCCUGGACCUGUACUGACGCUCAUGCACGAAAGCGUGGGGAGCAAACAGGAUUAGAAACCCUUGUAGUCCCAUGA
rnacentral:rRNA from 1 species